rnacentral:rRNA from 1 species
CAGGAUGAACGCUAGCGAUAGGCCUAACACAUGCAAGUCGAGGGGCAGCACAUGAAGCAGCAAUGCGGAUGGUGGCGACCGGCGCACGGGUGAGUAACGCGUAUGCAACCUACCUACAACAGGGGAAUAACCCGUUGAAAGACGGACUAAUACCCCAUAACACAGGGGUCCCGCAUGGGAAUAUUUGUUAAAGAUUUAUCGGUUGUAGAUGGGCAUGCGUUCUAUUAGCUAGUUGGUGAGGUAACGGCUCACCAAGGCAACGAUGGAUAGGGGAACUGAGAGGUUUAUCCCCCACACUGGUACUGAGACACGGACCAGACUCCUACGGGAGGCAGCAGUGAGGAAUAUUGGUCAAUGGGCGCAAGCCUGAACCAAGCCACGUCGCGCGAAGGAAGACGGCCCUACGGGUUGUAAACUUCUUUUGUAAGGGAAUAAAGUGUAGUACGUGUACUAUUUUGCAUGUACCUUACGAAUAAGGAUCGCCUCCCUCGUGCCAGCAGCGGC